AAUUCCUGUCAAUAAAGA
rnacentral:piRNA from 1 species